rnacentral:rRNA from 1 species
AUGCAAAACUCGCACCCAGUGGCUUAUUUGAGCCGUGCAUUGGCACCAAAGAACUUGGGUUUGUCAGCAUAUGAGAAAGAGUGCCUGGCCUUGUUAAUGGCAGUUGACCACUAGCGUCCCUACCUGCAGCACUCGGAAUUCUUGAUUAGGACUGAUCAACGCAGCUUGCUGAAUCUGACAGAUCAAAGGCUCAAUACCCCGAUACAACAACGGGCUUUCACAAAACUGAUAGGGCUUCAAUUCAAGAUUCAAUACAAGGCUGGCAUCACAAAUCGAGCUGCUGAUGCUCUCUCUCGCAAGGCUCCGGCUGACCAUGCAGAGGUUGCAGCCCUCUCUGUUUGUCAUCCCACAUGGCUGGAAGCGAUUGUCCAUAGCUACACCCAAGAUGCGACAGAACAACAAAGGAUGGCGUAG